rnacentral:rRNA from 1 species
GAUGAACGCUGGCGGCGUGCCUAAUACAUGCAAGUCGAGCGAACGGACGAGAAGCUUGCUUUUCUGAUGUUAGCGGCGGACGGGUGAGUAACACGUGGAUCACCUACCUAUAAGACUGGGAUAACUUCGGGAAACCGGAGCUAAUACCGGAUAAUAUUUUGAACCGCAUGGUUCAAAAGUGAAAGACGGUCUUGCUGUCUCUUAUAGAUGGAUCCGCGCUGCAUUAGCUAGUUGGUAAGGUAACGGCUUACCAAGGCAACGAUGCAUAGCCGACCUGAGAGGGGGAUCGGCCGCACUGGAGGGGGACCGCGGUCCAGACGCCUACGGGAGGCAGCAGAAGGGAACCUUCCGCAAUAGGCGAAAGCCUGAUGGAGCGACGCCACGCGAGUGAUGGAGGCCUUCGGAGCGGAAAGCUCUGUUAUGAGUGAAGAACAUAUGUGUAAGUAACUGUGCAGAACUUGACGGUACCUAAUCAGAAAGCCACGGCUAACUACGUG